rnacentral:rRNA from 1 species
AUCUACGGCCAUACCACCCUGAACGCGGCCGAUCUCGUCUGAUCUCGGAAGCUAAAAUGUGUAUGUCCAAGUUUGAAGGAAAACAUGUAGAAUGCCAUGUUUU